rnacentral:rRNA from 1 species
GAUGAACGCUGGCGGCGUGCCUAAUACAUGCAAGUCGAGCGAACAGACGAGGAGCUUGCUCCUCUGACGUUAGCGGCGGACGGGUGAGUAACACGUGGAUAACCUACCUAUAAGACUGGGAUAACUUCGGGAAACCGGAGCUAAUACCGGAUAAUAUAUUGAACCGCAUGGUUCAAUAGUGAAAGACGGUUUUGCUGUCACUUAUAGAUGGAUCCGCGCCGCAUUAGCUAGUUGGUAAGGUAACGGCUUACCAAGGCAACGAUGCGUAGCCGACCUGAGAGGGUGAUCGGCCACACUGGAACUGAGACACGGUCCAGACUCCUACGGGAGGCAGCAGUAGUGAAUCUUCCGCAAUGGGCGAAAGCCUGACGGAGCAACGCCGCGUGAGUGAUGAAGGUCUUCGGAUCGUAAAACUCUGUUAUUAGGGAAGAACAAAUGUGUAAGUAACUAUGCACGUCUUGACGGUACCUAAUCAGAAAGCCACGGCUAACUACGUG